CAGUAGCCGCGGUAAUACGUAGGGUGCGAGCGUUAAUCGGAAUUACUGGGCGUAAAGCGUGCGCAGGCGGUUAUAUAAGACAGAUGUGAAAUCCCCGGGCUCAACCUGGGACCUGCAUUUGUGACUGUAUAGCUAGAGUACGGUAGAGGGGGAUGGAAUUCCGCGUGUAGCAGUGAAAUGCGUAGAUAUGCGGAGGAACACCGAUGGCGAAGGCAAUCCCCUGGACCUGUACUGACGCUCAUGCACGAAAGCGUGGGGAGCAAACAGGAUUAGAUACCCGCGUAGUCCCUGUCUCUUAUAC
rnacentral:rRNA from 1 species